GGUUCAGGACGAACGCUGGCGGCGUGCCUAAUACAUGCAAGUCGAACGGUCUUUCUAUGGAAGCUUGCUUCCACUGAGAAGAUAGUGGCGAACGGGUGAGUAACACGUGGGUAACCUGCCCAUAAGAGGGGGAUAACAUCCGGAAACGGGUGCUAAUACCGCAUAGUUUUCUUGAUCGCAUGAUCGGGAAAGGAAAGACGGCCUUUGUGCUGUCGCUUAUGGAUGGACCCGCGGCGUAUUAGUUAGUCGGUGAGGUAACGGCUCACCAAGACGAUGAUACGUAGCCGACCUGAGAGGGUGAUCGGCCACAUUGGGACUGAGACACGGCCCAAACUCCUACGGGAGGCAGCAGUAGGGAAUCUUCCGCAAUGGACGAAAGUCUGACGGAGCAACGCCGCGUGAGUGAAGAAAAGGUUUUCGGAUCGUAAAACUCUGUUGUCAGAGAAGAACAAGUUGGAGAGUAACUGCUCCAGCCUUGACGGUAUCUGACCAGAAAGCCACGGCUAACUACGUGCCAGCAGCCGC
rnacentral:rRNA from 1 species